rnacentral:lncRNA from 1 species
CGGAGGUCUGUCCUAGCCACUUUUAAGGCUUCUGCAUGUUGUUAUCUGUUUCAGCAAUUCUCUAACUUCAAACUCAAAGAAUCCACAGAGAAAAGUGACAGUGAUAAAGGACAAGAGAUGAUUUCUCAAGUGAUGGACAAUGUAAAGCCUUGGUCUUAAGAGAUAGGCUAUUGGGCAGUUGCUGGUCCUUUAAAAAAAAAAAAAAUCACAGAAUUACACAGAAUUUCAGGGGUUGGAAGGGACAUUUGGGUAUCAUUGAGUCCAACUCCUGGAUAAAGCAGGUUCCCUACAGUAGGUUGCACAGGAAAGAAGAAGAAAAAUAAGAAGAUGAAGAAAAAGAAAGGAAAUUGAAAUGCAAAGAAGACAGCUCUACUGCCCACAGUGAUUCCCCAUCAGUCUGUCCAAGGAACAGCUGACCCACAGGUGCUGACAAGUUUGAAACAAGCAGGGAGGUAAGGGAUCAUGAAGCAGUGGUACAGAAAAAAAGCUAGAAGACAAAAUCCC